UGCCACUGUAACUGGGAUGACCACCUAGGUGAAAAGGCAAAAAUUAUUAGAACUGAAUCAUGGAUUUUGAUGUCACUGAAACCAGAGGUGAACUCGGGGCUUACAAAGGGGUAAGAACUUCACCCCAAGUGUUUCACUGCAAGACGAUGCAUUUGUUACUUGUGAUACGCACCUGAGAAAGGAUGCCAGUGUGAACUCAUGUGUUUAUACCAAUCCAGAUUAAGUCUAAGAAGAGCAAAGAUUUACAAGAGACAUCUGACCACUUAAUCAAAGCAGGUUGGAACUGUGCCUGAGAUGUCUGCACAACCUCUUACAGCAACCCUAUACCCUGCCUCAGAUAGCUGUGGUGGUGCCAGCCUCCAUCUGCCAUUCAUUAAAUUUCUCAGCACCUGCCUCUGUGAUUUCACUUACGCUCCAUGUCACACUCACAAAGCUGCAUUCUUCUCUUUCAAAUCUGACCUUAAAAAUGCUUCCUUCAAAUGAGGCCCGGCAGGCCUUUGGCAGUGCCACCUGAAGAAUCAUGUCCACCAUUGCUGGGCAUGAGGAAAAAUUUCUUCACUGAAGGGCUUGUCAGGCAUUGGAAGAGGGUGCCCAGGGAAGUGGUUGAGUCACCAUCCCUGGAGGUAUUUAAAAAACAUGUAGAUGUGGUAUUUACAUGCAUGGUUUAGUGGUGAAAGACACCUCAGCGUCAAGAAAGCUAAAGGUACAGAACUGAAACUCAAAUCAAAGUAAUUGAAAUAUAUUAUGUAAACAUACACUGUAGUCAAAGGAAUAUAAACCCAGAAAUUCCUAAUAACAUGAAAAAGCUCAGUGAUGGAAAAGAAGCAGUCAUGUUGAUAAUGAUGGAAUAAGCAAUAACAGGUUUGGAUUCCCAAUCUGCAAGGCACUGAAGUGCGUGAUUAUUUCUGUUGAAUUCAAUGGAAAUGCUUUUGUUCAAGUGCCUUGUUUCUGUUAAAAUGUCUUAUUUUCAUGAUAUAAGAAUAAAGAUGAUCUGUUGAAGCUGAGAUGGAGAAGGUAGAUUGUUAAUCAGCCUAGUUCAACAGGUACUUGUUGCACAAACAAGUUAUAGUUGCUGUAAAAAGGGAUUUCUUCCUCAUGAAGACAUGUGAAUGGCCAGUGGUAUUUAUUUACUUCCAUUAGUGGGAGGGUUAAUAUUAAGUAUCAGCACUUGGAGACUGAAAUACUUUCUGUCCGCAACAAAAUGAUUACUUGUGUAAAUAUGCAGUGUGUGAUUACAGGUGUUAGUGUGCACAUAGGCUUCAGAGAAGAGCACAGCACACGAAUAGGAGAAUUUUUCCCUGAGUGAGAAAGAACACAGUAUCCAUAGAUGGCCUCUAAAGAAUGUGCUAGUUGGGUCAGACCUCUUCAAGGUCUUGCUCUUCAACGAAUUUGCAUCACUUGCUAUGCCUUGGAGUAAAAAUAAGGUACUCGCAGCUUGCUCUGAUUUAGUUUGCUAACUACAACCUUAAUCAUACUUGGAUGAGAAGGCUAGUAUUUACUAUACCAUAUGGCUGCUGGAGUCUGAGCAGAGACCAGUGCGUUGUCUUUCCUGUGGUCUCCCUGAAAGCCUUGGAGAUAAUCCCACUAUCUUGCUUGCACAAGGAGAAAAAGGAUUUCCUCUAUUUUAUUUCACCUGCACUUGUAACAGUAAGUAGAGCCUAAGACAGGCGAAGCUGAGGCAGUGCCUAGCUACCACGUUCCGUGUACAAAGGCAGUCACUUGGAAGAAACCAACACACACUUUUGGAAUAGAGGGCUAGACUUCAGCUACUAUAGUAUAAAAUCAGAUUAGCUCCAGAGAAGCAGGAUUUAUCACCAUCUCACAGCAGUGAUGCAGUUCUGAGUCUGGCCCACGAUGCUUUCAUUCCACUUCUAUCAAUGUACUGAGUGAAUUCCUACUCCGGUCCACUAACUUCACAAGACAAAUAACACUCAUGAACAAGCUCAUAGCUUGUUGGGAGCAAAGUAGGACAAUGGGAUAAUACUGUACUUGCAUAGGACUGAUGGCAGGAGACCAGCCAGCUGUGAAGAGACUCAAAACCAAAGAAGAAUCAACUUACAGGAAGAGAGGAAAAGAAGAGCACUUUUCAUCCCUUUCCCUCAGCACAUAAAUGAAUUGUGCAUCUUUGGAGGAACAUUUGCAGCUGAAGACUUGAAGACCUUGAAAACAGGAUGACAGAGCUGUAGACCAAAGAGGGAUCAAAGAGUUGCAGAAAGCAGAGGUGGGCUGUCAGCACAUGGAGGUGGAAUCAGGAUGGAAAUGGGGAGAGCUUAUUUGGGGUUUCUACCUGGCAAGAGCUUAUUAAAAAGUGAGAACUUACUGGAAAAAUAAAAAUAAAGAAUUCUGACUUUCACUGCGUACAUCCUAACAAGAAAGUCCUAGAGCACUCACUGAAAGAGUCGAUCACAGUAAUGCCAGAUAAUCAGUCCAGGGAAUACACUGGAAAAUCAUAUCCAGCAAAUACAGGUUCUUUUCCUAAAUGUGCAUGCUAGCACAUCUCCCACUUACCCUUAACAAGGAGAGUCUCACCUUUUUU